UGUCCCGGGCACCCGGAGCCACCGAGGCUGCCCCCAGCCCAGUCCGAAGCUGGCCUGUCUCCCAGCCCAGUUUCCCUCCCUGAGCUUUAGGACGCGUCCCACCCGGGGCUUGGAAGCCCACAACCCUGCGGCAGCGAAAAGCAAAGGGCGGGAGGAGAGCUACAAAGGAGGACGGUGGCCGCAGCCAGAGCCAGCCCCCAGCCGUGGGUAACCUUGGAGGCGCCCUCGACAGACAUUAAAAUAACAGCUUGGUCUCGGCCAGCAAGUGAGCAAAGGUUAUCCCAACUACCACAGCACCUGCAAAAGCACAAGUGGAACUCACACAUUUUGCUUCCCAUGUUCUAAAAUGGAUUCUGAGCCAUCCAGAGAAAUCAGCACAUAGAAGGAGGGGAACCUGACAACAGAGGUGUACAUAUUAAAAAUUACACAGGCGAGCUCAUUUUCACUGAUGAUCCAGAGAAGAGUAUUUUAUUGAAAGACCUUGUAGCAUAAUCUAAGGUCAGCAAAUGAAGUUUUUGGCUACCAACAUAAAAGAAUUUUAAAAAUCAGUUCCCUGUAGGGAAAAUAACGUUUCAAAAUAAAAGGAUGAAAAUAGCACGCAUUUUUUUUAAAGCAGAAAAUAUUAUA